rfam:Triticum urartu cultivar G1812 contig138327, whole genome shotgun sequence.
GUGGUACUCCCUCCGUCCGGAAAUACUUGUCUAAGGAAUGAAUGUAUUUAGAUGUAUUUUAGUUCUAGAUACAUCCAUUUGUAUCCAAUUUUUACGACAAGUAUUUCCGAACGGAAAAAGUACAUA